GACGAACGCUGGCGGCGUGCUUAACACAUGCAAGUCGAACGGUGAAGCGCCUUCCUUUUUGGUGGGUGUGGAUGAGUGGCGAACGGGUGAGUAACACGUGAGUAACCUGCCCCCUUCUUCUGGAUAACCGCAUGAAAGUGUGGCUAAUACGGGAUAUUCUGGGUCUGUCGCAUGAUGGGUCUGGGAAAGAUAUUGUUUCGGUGGGGGAUGGGCUCGCGGCCUAUCAGCUUGUUGGUGGGGUGAUGGCCUACCAAGGCGGUGACGGGUAGCCGGCCUGAGAGGGUGGACGGUCACACUGGGACUGAGACACGGCCCAGACUCCUACGGGAGGCAGCAGUGGGGAAUAUUGCACAAUGGGCUCAAGCCUGAUGCAGCGACGCCGCGUGAGGGAUGGAGGCCUUCGGGUUGUGAACCUCUUUCGCCAGUGAAGCAGGCCUGCCUCGUUUGUGGGUGGGUUGACGGUAGCUGGAUAAGAAGCGCCGGCUAACUACGUG
rnacentral:rRNA from 1 species